rnacentral:misc_RNA from 1 species
AACAUCGCGCACCUGCGGGAACCUGCGGAAGGAUCAUUAAUGAUUGGUGGCUGUUGCUGACUAGUGUUUCUAGUAUGUGCACGCCACACCUUCAAUCCCACUUACACCUGUGCACCUUCUGUAAUAGAUCUAUGUGGGUACGGAGAUAUGAAAGUUUGCGCUCUCGUACUCUGUUGAAGCAGUCUACUACGUUUUUUUACACACACACAAUAGUCAUUGAAUGUAUUUUUUAUUCUUAUG